rnacentral:rRNA from 1 species
GAUGAACGCUGGCGGCGUGCCUAAUACAUGCAAGUCGAGCGAACAGAUGAGGAGCUUGCUCCUCUGACGUUAGCGGCGGACGGGUGAGUAACACGUGGAUAACCUACCUAUAAGACUGGGAUAACUUCGGGAAACCGGAGCUAAUACCGGAUAAUAUAUUGAACCGCAUGGUUCAAUAGUGAAAGACGGUUUUGCUGUCACUUAUAGAUGGAUCCGCGCCGCAUUAGCUAGUUGGUAAGGUAACGGCUUCCCAAGGCAACGAUGCGUAGCCGACCUGAGAGGGUGGUCGGGCACACUGGAACUGAGACACGGUCCAGACUCCUACGGGAGGCAGCAGUAGGGAAUCUUCCGCAAUGGGCGAAAGCCUGACGGAGCAACGCCGCGUGAGUGAUGAAGGUCUUCGGAUCGUAAAACUCUGUUAUUAGGGAAGAACAAAUGUGUAAGUAACUAUGCACGUCUUGACGGUACCUAAUCAGAAAGCCACGGCUAACUACGUG